UUUUCUUAAUAUACUAGUUUUUUAUAGCCCUAAAAUCAUUAUCAAUUUGUUCAAAGCACUUGAGAUGAAGAAACUCUUUCAAAUAUCGAGUCCCAUUAUAGCUACAUUCAUCAUCAUCGCAAUAGGGUUAGUGGCGAAUGAAGCAUAUGGAAACAAAAAUUGUACUGAAAUUCUAAAUACAAAGGAA